rnacentral:rRNA from 1 species
AUUGAACGCUGGCGGCAGGCUUAACACAUGCAAGUCGAGCGGGGUGAUGGUGCUUGCACUAUCACUUAGCGGCGGACGGGUGGGUAAUGCUUAGGAAUCUGCCUAUUAGUGGGGGACAACAUCUCGAAAGGGAUGCUAAUACCGCAUACGUCCUACGGGAGAAAGCAGGGGAUCACUUGUGACCUUGCGCUAAUAGAUGAGCCUAAGUCGGAUUAGCUAGUUGGUGGGGUAAAGGCCUACCAAGGCGACGAUAUGUAGCGGGUCUGAGAGGAUGAUCCGCCACACUGGGACUGAGAAACGGCCCAGACUCCUACGGGAGGCAGCAGUGGGGAAUAUUGGACAAUGGGGGGAACCCUGAUCCAGCCAUGCCGCGUGUGUGAAGAAGGCCUUAUGGUUGUAAGGCACUUUAAGCGAGGAGGAGGCUCUUUUGGUUAAUACCCAAGAUGAGUGGACGUUACUCGCAGAAUAAGCACCGGCUAACUCUGUGCCAGCCGCCGCAGUAA